rnacentral:rRNA from 1 species
UGGAUAACUUCGGGAAACCGGAGCUAAUACCGGAUAAUAUUUCGAACCGCAUGGUUCGAUAGUGAAAGAUGGUUUUGCUAUCACUUAUAGAUGGACCUGCGCCGUAUUAGCUAGUUGGUAAGGUAACGGCUUACCAAGGCGACGAUACGUAGCCGACCUGAGAGGGUGAUCGGCCACACUGGAACUGAGACACGGUCCAGACUCCUACGGGAGGCAGCAGGC